AUCUAGAGUUUCAGCUGGAGGCGGUGGAAUUACUUCUGGACAGACCGUGCAGUUGGGGCAUACAUCGCAAGCAGCACAAGCCGGGCAGGGUUGAGUCAAAAGAUUCGGGAAAUAACCGAAAAAAGGUCCCAAACCUUGUUGUCCUAUCAUUGGAUUAAUUGGCGAAUUCGAUUGACGGGGACCAGGUCCAAAACGAGAUUCCAUCACGGGUU